rnacentral:rRNA from 1 species
CGUAGGGGGCAAGCGUUGUCCGGAUUUAUUGGGCGUAAAGCGCUCGCAGGUGGUCCGAUGCGUCGUGCGUGAAAGCCCCCGGCUCAACUGGGGAGUGUCGUGCGAUACGGUCGGACUGGAGGCCAGUAGGGGGAUGCGGAAUUCCGGGUGUAGUGGUGGAAUGCGUAGAGAUCCGGAGGAACACCAGCGGCGAAGGCGGCAUCCUGGACUGGUCCUGACACUCAUGAGCGAAAGCGUGGGGAGCGAUCCGGAUUAGAUACCCGGGUAGUCCACGCCGUAAACGAUGCGCACUAGGUGUCGGGGGUAUCGACCCCCUCGGUGCCGCAGCUAACGCGAUAAGUGCGCCGCCUGGGGACUACGGCCGCAAGGCUA